rnacentral:rRNA from 1 species
UACGUAGGGACCAAGCGUUGUUCGGAUUUACUGGGCGUAAAGGGCGCGUAGGCGGCAUUGUAAGUCACUUGUGAAAUCUCCGGGCUUAACCCGGAACGGCCAAGUGAUACUGCAGUGCUAGAGUGCAGAAGGGGCAAUCGGAAUUCUCGGUGUAGCGGUGAAAUGCGUAGAUAUCGAGAGGAACACCUGAGGUGAAGACGGGUUGCUGGGCUGACACUGACGCUGAGGCGCGAAAGCCAGGGGAGCAAAC